UACGUAGGGGGCAAGCGUUGUCCGGAUUCAUUGGGCGUAAAGAGCGUGUAGGCGGCCAGGUAGGUCGGUUGUGAAAACUGGAGGCUCAACCUUCAGAGGUCGACCGAAACCAUCUGGCUAGAGUCCGGGAGAGGAGAGUGGAAUUCCUGGUGUAGCGGUGAAAUGCGCAGAUAUCAGGAAGAACACCUAUGGCGAAGGCAGCACUCUGGGACGGUACUGACGCUGAGACGCGAAAGCGUGGGGAGCGAACAGG
rnacentral:rRNA from 1 species